AUGUCGUGUGACGCAAGCAGGCACGCAGCCUUAUUCACCGACUGCGAGGAGCAGCAGCCGAGCCGCCCUGCUCCUGGAGCCGGAGACAUCGCAUUGCUCUGGGAGACAUGAGGAGGACAAUAAUACGAUCUCGCGGGAUCUCCCCACCGCAAUCCGAUAAAGUAGACUCCUUCGGCUUUCCUCCUACGUUGGCAUCUCUAAGAAACCCAUCCACACGCUAUCUAGCUGUUCUCUGAAUAAUAUAUAUAUAUUUUUAAUACCAUAUAGAUCGCUGUUCCAGGUCCUAUCAUUGUCCUCUUCUAAUUGACAAGGGACACGAUUCUGGGGGAACAAUAUAGAUUACUUGGUCCUUGGGUUCAUAUCCACCUCUUGCUCUUCUCCUUCGUUGAAUUUCCCCCGCUCGAUAUUUCUCCUCCCACAUCCGCGAUCUGGGUACCUGGUUUUUCGACCCACCGAAGCCUCAGGAACGAUGUCCUCCUCGGUGAUGCUUGCGGUCCUUCAAUUUAUGGUGUUAAUGAAGUCAGCCUCGACGCAGAGCGCCGGGUUUGUGAAGUCGCCCAUGUCAGAGACCAAGCUCACGGGGGACACCUUUGAGCUGUACUGCGACGUGGUCGGCAGCCCCACCCCGGAGAUCCAGUGGUGGUACGCCGAGACCAACCGCGCCGACUCCUUCAAGCAGCUGUGGGACGGGGCGCGCAAGCGGCGCGUCUCCAUCGACACGGCGUACGGCGCCAACGGCGUGAGUGUGCUGGGCGUCACGCGUCUCACGCUGGAGGACUCGGGGACCUACGAGUGCCGGGCCAGCAACGACCCGCGGCGCAACGACAUGCGCCAGAAUCCCGCCCUCACCUGGAUCCGGGCGCAGGCCACCGUGACGGUGCUGCAGAAGCCCCGGAUCAACUCCUCGGAUGACGUCGCACUCCUCCCGGGGUCCCACCCGCCCCCAUCCACGCUGCAGUGCAAUCUCACCAACUCCCAUAACACACACCGACAGAGUUUCUGGAUGAAGAAUGGAGAAGAGAUCCCGGGAACCCGCAGAGACCUAAAAAACACAGAGUACAGAAUUCAGAAGCCCAGAGCUGAAGAUGCUGGGGAGUAUAUGUGUGUGUACACCUUCGACAUGGCCCCUCCUGCGAAUGCUACCAUCGAGGUGAAAGCUUCUCCUCACAUCACCGGCCACAAGCGCAGCGAGAACCAGAACGAGGGCCAGAGUGCCAUGCUCUACUGCAAGUCCGUGGGCUACCCCCACCCGACGUGGAUCUGGCGGAAGCUGGACAGGGGGGCUUACGUGGACAUCGACAACUCCUCUGGCCGUUUUUAUGUUAACAGCAGAGAAAAUUAUUCAGAACUUAACAUUGUGAACCUGGACAUCAAAACCGAUGCGGGUCAGUACCAGUGCAAUGCCUCCAAUGUCUUGGGGACGACGACGCAAGUCUCAAUCUUGCGGGUACGCAGCCACUUGGCGCCCCUCUGGCCCUUCCUGGGUGUCCUGGCGGAGAUCUUCAUCCUCGUCGUCAUCAUCGUGGUGUAUGAGAAGCGCAAGAGACCAGAGGAGGAGAUGGACGGUGAGGACCCUCCCCCCACCAUUAUUACACCUCCCCAAAGAAAGGCUCCAAAUUAAGUCACGUAAGAGGCAGCAAGGGCUUUGAUGCAAGAGGCUUGAGUCAGAAUUCACUUUAUUGGCCAGAUACACCCACAUGUACUAGGAAUUUGUCUUGGUGCAUACAGUACUAGUCUAAUGUCUGGACACACUAACCGAAAGCCAUUUGUUUUCGCACAAGAUAAUGACCCUAAGCACACCUCAAGGUUAUGUAAUGUUGCGUUCCAUUUGAACUGUGAAGUCAGAAUUUCCAAGUGUCUAGUUGGAAAUUUCAACUGGAAAGCCCCCUGAAACCGGAAUUCCAAGUCGGAAUCUCUGAGGAACCUCUGCAACCCCAACCUCAGAAUUCAAUAUGGCUGCACUCUUCAUCAACAGAAAUGAAAGCUGUUGUUAUUUACCGUUUAUUAGCAGUCAUGUCUUCUGUGGGGCUCAUUAAAUCUGUCGUACAUACAGCACUGUCCAGCUGCUAUCUGUGGACUUGUUGCUAUGGUGUUUGUAUGUGCAAAAUACCACGUAUACCAACGUAUUGUUAUCAACUGGUGUUGCUAACAAUGGCUAACAAUGAACCUGGCUAGAACUGGGGCCUGUUUCAGAAAGCAGGAGACCUUGCUUAGCCAGACAACUUGUGGAAUUUAAGGUAGCCUGACCUAAAUGUAAAUGAAUGAAGAUAAAGGUGAUUUAAUCUGGGGUACCUUAAAUCUAACAAAUUAUCGGGCUGCGCAAGAAAUCUUGCUUUUUGAAACAGGUUGCGUAAUGGCUAUCCAACUUGUAUUGGAACGCGGUUAACUUGGGUGUGACUUCAUUCCCAGGUCAGACCUCUUAAGUAAAUGUAACACAGUAUAGAUUCGGCAUUAUCUUGAACAAGGAAAGACAUGGAGUACCAUAAUAGAUUACCUGGCCCCCACAAACCCCCAACCAAUACACUAUAGAGCUGGUUUGGGAUGAGUUGGAUCAAAGAGUAAGAGCAAAUAGCCAACUUGUGCCCAGACCUUAUGGAAAGUCCACUAGGACUGUUGGAGAAGCAUUCCAGGUGGCUACAUCUGGAUGCUGGUUGAAAGAAUGAUGAGUCUGCAAGGCUGUCAUCAAAGCAAAAGGAGGAUCGUUUGAAGAAUCUAAAAUUUGAGAAAAUUUUGAGAUGUUGAACACUUCUCUUGUUCAUAUCAGUAUUUGAAAUGCAUUACUCCAUUGCUUUAUGGCCUUUUACUAUAAAUAACUAUAGAUAACAGCUAAAACAGAGUCAAAUGCAUUAAAAGCAAACGUGUCCAGACUUUUGACUGCUACUGUACGUUCACAAACAACAUAGAAUCUAAAUUAAGAAAAAUAAUGAAAAAAUAGAAAUAAAAUAGCCAGUCAGUGCUUUUUCUUCUAACUGGUGAAGAUCAGGAGAUCCUUUACUUAGACGUAUUUUCUAUAUAUGUGCUCAGUCCCAUUACUGAUGUGAACGUCCGUCCAUAAUUUACUGUGAGAGACGUUGCUUGGGAGCUUCCAUCACGAGGUCGAUGGCUCUGCUAUUUCUGAGCCAAAGUGUGGGCAGCUGUGACCUUAAUUAUUCAUGCCUUUGAAGUGACACCCCCCCCCCCAAACUGAUCGGUCACGUUCACGGCCCGUACCUCUUCAGUGCGAGGGGCCGCGGCAUCACUGCGUGGACUCGGCAUCGACUCUUCAGCUUCGGCGGUUUGUCUCGCAAUCUCCGAAACGUCACUGAAGGUUGUGGUAAAUCACCGUGAACGCUAAAGGCGGGGCAGUGCGGUUUACCGGAUUUGUCUCACUGUAGAUCCGCCAAAAACGUCCAUGUACUCCGGGCCACGAUUAAAGUUCCUCAAUGACUUGAACACAAAUAAAGGCAGCAGUGUUCCAGAAAGACUUCCGGCUAUUGACCCUGCUGAGUUAACCCUAAUGAGUUUGUUUUUUAUGGUUAUCUGGAACACAUCUGUGACCUUUUAAUGGCUGCAUACUGUCCCUGUGGUCCAUUUUUUUUUCCAAACAUGCUGUCUUGUGAUGUAGAAGAACCGGCCCCUGACUCGGUUAGAUGUGCUGCAGAUUCAUACACAAGGAUGAAGCUAAACUUUUGGGUCAAGGUUGUGUUGGAGGGUUACUAAGACGUUUUUUUCCCCUUUUCCAAUCGCCUCAUAACCUUUAAAAUGGGUGACGAUGAGGCAGCCGGACCAAUGAAAACAAACUCCACCAACAAUCACAAAGAGAAGAAUCUGCGCCAAAGGAACACCAACUGAGUGGGGGGAGCCUGUCUACAACAAUGGCGUGAAUUUCACAAGGUGAAGAUGGAAG